AUUAAAAAUACGGCCACCAAACCUGAAUACGACGGCACCAUAGAUUGAACCACCAGAAAACGAAAGUGUAUCCACAAAACAUCAUUCGAGGCUAAAGUCGUGUCAUGUUAUGAGUCAUACUCCUGAAUUAGUGUCAAUGUGAUCACGGUGGUUUAAAUAGAGUUAUUGCUGCUUAAUGUGCGCAAUAGUUAUGAAAAUGGUCGGGUUGUGCGGAAUGGGAGUUGCAUUGUAAGAAAGAUUGCUGGUGAUAAAGCAACAAUGGCAAUAUAUUGCGAAAAUGUCCUUCUGCCAAAGCAAGUGACGCAUUCGUUCUAUGCAACAUGGCUUCACUGUUACGAAGAACUGUUCGAUGCAUCACUGACUGGCAAGGCCUCUCAUAUAAAAUUCGAACUAGGCACGACUUUAGGAAGAAAGGACAGUAGCGAGACCCUAAGCCUUGAAAAGGCAACUUUGUGUGGAAUUUCUUUAGAUUGUGACUUGAGUGGCACCUAUACUCAAACAGAAACUAUUCAUUAUGAAGAAGAAGCAGAACAAGAGGUAAAAGGCAAAGAUGAUGGCAAUCCUCAGGCUGAAAAUAAUGCAACCGAAAGCUCAAAAUCUUCUUACACAUCAGGCAGAUUGUUCGCUGGGCGAAAGAAAACUUACAGAUUUAGCUAUAAUGGUGAUGUAUGAGAAAGAGUGCUUAUGAACAGUACCUUGUAGAUCAGUGGUGGCGCUAGCUAUUACAGGAUGGGAGGGUAAUGAGCGUGGCCGGUGAGACCACGCCCAUUGUCUCGUUUUAGAAGAAAUAUGUAGACUAAUUACCCCUCUUCAUACCACCCUUUGGCGCCGCCACUGUUGUAGAUCAUGAUUCAUAAAAUUGUUUUCUUUUUCUAUUGUACUCUAUGUAGGUUAUCUUACGUUGAUUUACGAACAGAAAAUACCAAGCUUCCCUUUCAACCUAGUGUGAGAGCUUUUCUGAAUGGCUUAGGUAUCAUUUUCUUCAAAAAGGAAUAGUCAGUAAGAAUUUUGAAUAACAGUGAAGUCGAUAAGCAACCAACUUACUUGAAGUAUCUUGAAUGCUGAGAAAAGUUCUAUUUGUUACGUGAAGAGUUUGGAUCAUUUCAAAUAUAGCUGAUGACGUUGUGUAAUUUUUCAUUUUGGCAUACCCCUACGUAAAAUGGUUUGUGUCUUCCAUGCAACCGAUAUUUGUUAUGAAUAAAUUGUUGUAAAUUUGUAAAUAUAUUAGUUUGAUGAAGUUAUUCAUUAAAUAAACAUCGUUUGUAUGCAGACUGAAAAUAAAUUAACAAAGUAGAGCAGUUCAAAGUAAACUGUGUCUAGAGUUGUAUGAAUCUUCUGCGUUUAAUGUAAUAUAAAGAGAAAUCAAAUAAUAUAUAUUUAUCUAAUAUAUCGAA